GAUGAACGCUGGCGGCGUGCCUAAUACAUGCAAGUCGAGCGAACGGACGAGAAGCUUGCUUCUCUGAUGUUAGCGGCGGACGGGUGAGUAACACGUGGAUAACCUACCUAUAAGACUGGGAUAACUUCGGGAAACCGGAGCUAAUACCGGAUAAUAUUUUGAACCGCAUGGUUCAAAAGUGAAAGACGGUCUUGCUGUCACUUAUAGAUGGAUCCGCGCUGCAUUAGCUAGUUGGUAAGGUAACGGCUUACCAAGGCAACGAUGCAUAGCCGACCUGAGAGGGUGAUCGGCCACACUGGAACUGAGACACGGUCCAGACUCCUACGAGAGGCAGCAGUAGGGAAUCUUCCGCAAUGGGUGAAAGCCUGUCGGAACAACGCCGCGUGAGUGAUGAAGGUCUUCGGAUCGUAAAACUCUGUUAUUAGGGAAGAACAUAUGUGUAAGUAACUGUGCACAUCUUGACGGUACCUAAUCAGAAAGCCACGGCUAACUACGUG
rnacentral:rRNA from 1 species